rnacentral:SRP_RNA from 1 species
GCCGGGUGUGGUGGCGCACACCUGUAAUCCCAACUACUUGGGAGGCUGAUGCAGGAGAAUCGCUUGAACCCGGAAGGUGGAGGUUGCAGUGAGCUGCGAUCGUGCCACUGCACUCCAGCCUGGGUGACAGAGCAAGAUUCUGUCUCAA